rnacentral:rRNA from 1 species
GACGAACGCUGGCGGCGUGCUUAACACAUGCAAGUCGAACGGACAGGCCCUGCUUUUGUGGGGUGCUCGAGUGGCGAACGGGUGAGUAACACGUGAGUAACCUGCCCUUGACUUUGGGAUAACUUCAGGAAACUGGGGCUAAUACCGGAUAGGAGCUCCUGCUGCAUGGUGGGGGUUGGAAAGUUUCGGCGGUUGGGGAUGGACUCGCGGCUUAUCAGCUUGAUGGUGGGGUAGUGGCUUACCAAGGCUUUGACGGGUAGCCGGCCUGAGAGGGUGACCGGCCACAUUGGGACUGAGAUACGGCCCAGACUCCUACGGGAGGCAGCAGUGGGGAAUAUUGCACAAUGGGCGGAAGCCUGAUGCAGCAACGCCGCGUGCGGGAUGACGGCCUUCGGGUUGUAAACCGCUUUCGCCUGUGACGAAGCGUGAGUGACGGUAAUGGGUAAAGAAGCACCGGCUAACUACGUG